rnacentral:rRNA from 1 species
UACGUAGGUCCCGAGCGUUGUCCGGAUUUAUUGGGCGUAAAGCGAGCGCAGGUGGUUUAUUAAUCUGGUGUAAAAGGCAGUGGCUCAACCAUUGUAUGCAUUGGAAACUGGUAGACUUGAGUGCAGGAGAGGAGAGUGGAAUUCCAUGUGUAGCGGUGAAAUGCGUAGAUAUAUGGAGGAACACCGGUGGCGAAAGCGGCUCUCUGGCCUGUAACUGACACUGAGGCUCGAAAGCGUGGGGAGCAAACAGG